rnacentral:rRNA from 1 species
AAAUGACGGUACCUGACUAAGAAGCACCGGCUAAAUACGUGCCAGCAGCCGCGGUAAUACGUAUGGUGCAAGCGUUAUCCGGAUUUACUGGGUGUAAAGGGAGCGUAGACGGAGUGGCAAGUCUGAUGUGAAAACCCGGGGCUCAACCCCGGGACUGCAUUGGAAACUGUCAAUCUGGAGUACCGGAGAGGUAAGCGGAAUUCCUAGUGUAGCGGUGAAAUGCGUAGAUAUUAGGAGGAACACCAGUGGCGAAGGCGGCUUACUGGACGGUAACUGACGUUGAGGCUCGAAAGCGUGGGGAGCAAACAGGAUUAGAUACCCUGGUAGUCCACGCCGUAAACGAUGACUACUAGGUGUCGGGCAGCAAAGCUGUUCGGUGCCGCAGCAAACGCAAUAAGUAGUCCACCUGGGGAGUACGUUCGCAAGAAUGAAACUCAAAG